GGUUUACCUGUGUGACUGCGUACCUUUUGUAUAAUGGGUCAGCGACUUAUAUUCUGUAGCAAGGUUAACCGAAUAGGGGAGCCGGAGGGAAACCGAGUCUUAAUUGGGCGUUAAGUUGCAGGGUAUAGACCCGAAACCCGGUGAUCUAGCCAUGGGCAGGUUGAAGGUUGGGUAACACUAACUGGAGGACCGAACCGACUAAUGUUGAAAAAUUAGCGGAUGACCUGUGGCUGGGGGUGAAAGGCCAAUCAAACCGGGAGAUAGCUGGUUCUCCCCGAAAGCUAUUUAGGUAGCGCCUCGUGAAUUCAUCUCCGGGGGUAGAGCACUGUUUCGGCUAGGGGGCCAUCCCGGCUUACCAACCCGAUGCAAACUGCGAAUACCGGAGAAUGUUAUCACGGGAGACACACGGCGGGUGCUAACGUCCGUCGUGAAGAGGGAAACAACCCAGACCGCCAGCUAAGGUCCCAAAGUCAUGGUUAAGUGGGAAACGAUGUGGGAAGGCCCAGACAGCCAGGAUGUUGGCUUAGAAGCAGCCAUCAUUUAAAGAAAGCGUAAUAGCUCACUGGUCGAGUCGGCCUGCGCGGAAGAUGUAACGGGGCUAAACCAUGCACCGAAGCUGCGGCAGCGACGCUUAUGCGUUGUUGGGUAGGGGAGCGUUCUGUAAGCCUGCGAAGGUGGCCUGUGAGGGUUGCUGGAGGUAUCAGAAGUGCGAAUGCUGACAUAAGUAACGAUAAAGCGGGUGAAAAGCCCGCUCGCCGGAAGACCAAGGGUUCCUGUCCAACGUUAAUCGGGGCAGGGUGAGUCGACCCCUAAGGCGAGGCCGAAAGGCGUAGUCGAUGGGAAACGGGUUAAUAUUCCCGUACUUGGUGUUACUGCGAAGGGGGGACGGAGAAGGCUAUGUUGGCCGGGCGACGGUUGUCCCGGUUUAAGCGUGUAGGUGUGUGUUCCAGGUAAAUCCGGUUCACUUUAACACUGAGGCGUGACGACGAGGCACUACGGUGCUGAAGCAACAAAUGCCCUGCUUCCAGGAAAAGCCUCUAAGCAUCAGGUAACAUCAAAUCGUACCCCAAACCGACACAGGUGGUCAGGUAGAGAAUACCAAGGCGCUUGAGAGAACUCGGGUGAAGGAACUAGGCAAAAUGGUGCCGUAACUUCGGGAGAAGGCACGCUGACACGUAGGUGAAGUGAUUUACUCAUGGAGCUGAAGUCAGUCGAAGAUACCAGCUGGCUGCAACUGUUUAUUAAAAACACAGCACUGUGCAAACACGAAAGUGGACGUAUACGGUGUGACGCCUGCCCGGUGCCGGAAGGUUAAUUGAUGGGGUCAGCGCAAGCGAAGCUCCUGAUCGAAGCCCCGGUAAACGGCGGCCGUAACUAUAACGGUCCUAAGGUAGCGAAAUUCCUUGUCGGGUAAGUUCCGACCUGCACGAAUGGCGUAAUGAUGGCCAGGCUGUCUCCACCCGAGACUCAGUGAAAUUGAACUCGCUGUGAAGAUGCAGUGUACCCGCGGCAAGACGGAAAGACCCCGUGAACCUUUACUAUAGCUUGACACUGAACAUUGAGCCUUGAUGUGUAGGAUAGGUGGGAGGCUUUGAAGUGUGGACGCCAGUCUGCAUGGAGCCGACCUUGAAAUACCACCCUUUAAUGUUUGAUGUUCUAACGUGGACCCGUUACCCGGGUUGCGGACAGUGUCUGGUGGGUAGUUUGACUGGGGCGGUCUCCUCCUAAAGAGUAACGGAGGAGCACGAAGGUUGGCUAAUCCUGGUCGGACAUCAGGAGGUUAGUGCAAUGGCAUAAGCCAGCUUGACUGCGAGCGUGACGGCGCGAGCAGGUGCGAAAGCAGGUCAUAGUGAUCCGGUGGUUCUGAAUGGAAGGGCCAUCGCUCAACGGAUAAAAGGUACUCCGGGGAUAACAGGCUGAUACCGCCCAAGAGUUCAUAUCGACGGCGGUGUUUGGCACCUCGAUGUCGGCUCAUCACAUCCUGGGGCUGAAGUAGGUCCCAAGGGUAUGGCUGUUCGCCAUUUAAAGUGGUACGCGAGCUGGGUUUAGAACGUCGUGAGACAGUUCGGUCCCUAUCUGCCGUGGGCGCUGGAGAACUGAGGGGGGCUGCUCCUAGUACGAGAGGACCGGAGUGGACGCAUCACUGGUGUUCGGGUUGUCAUGCCAAUGGCACUGCCCGGUAGCUAAAUGCGGAAGAGAUAAGUGCUGAAAGCAUCUAAGCACGAAACUUGCCCCGAG
rnacentral:rRNA from 2 species